rnacentral:rRNA from 1 species
GUCAACUUUGAUCUUUACUGCUUCCGGGAGUCAUUUUCAUAGGUCGACUUCAACACAUAUUAUUGUACAUGCAUGCAUAUUCUCCUUUGGCUCGCUUUUAUCAUAUUUACCCACUACAUUUCCUAUUGCUUUGACUGAUUCGUCUCCCCAACAAUGGAGGAGGAGGUGAGAGAGUCGUACCCAGACUGGCACAGUAUUUGGCACAUCCAACUCUGGAUCGAAGUCUGGAGUCCACGUGUUUAAAUAAAGACCCCUAAUAUCCAUGAAAUAUGGUCCAUUCUUAAAUAUCAAAUAUUUGUCUUCUUUUGUUUCAAAGUGGAAUGUGUAGUAGCCUCUUCCAUGUAACCUGAUCGAGAUUUUUCUGUCGAUAGUCGAGGACCAGUUCCGUUCUACGCACUUCUGGAUAGAGCAGGGAGAAGGCCAUAGUCCUGUGAACUGUCCAACCAGACCACGCUUUAAGGACUCUGCCAGCACCUUCUGAGAAAUCAGAGUGUUUGGGUUCCGGGGGGAGUAUGGUCACAAGGCUGAAACUUAAAGGAAUUGACGGAAGGGCACCACCAGGAGUGGAGCCUGCAACUUAAUUUGACUCAACACGGGGAAACUUACCAGGUCCAGACAUAGUAAGGAUUGACAGAUUGAGAGCUCUUUCUUGAUUCUAUGGGUGGUGGAGCAUGGUCGUUCUUAGUUAGUGGAGCGAUUUGUCUGGUUAAUUCCGAUAACGAACGAGACCUCAGCCUGCUAACUAGCUACGCGGAGGUUCCCCUUCGUGGCCAGCUUCUUAGAGGGACUAUGGCCGUUUAGGCCAUGGAAGUUUGAGGCAAUAACAGGUCUGUGAUGCCCUUAGAUGUUCUGGGCUGCACGCGCGCUACACUAAUGCAACCAAUGAGCUUUUAUUCCUGGUUCGAGAGGAUCGGGAAAUCUUCUCAAAUUGCAUCGUGAUGGGGAUAGACCAUUGCAAUUAUUGGUCUUCAACGAGGAAUUCCUAGUAAGCGCGUGUCAUCAACUCGUGUUGACUACAUCCCUACCCUUUGUACACACCGCCCGUCACUCCUACUGAUUGAAUGAUCCGGUGAAGUGUUCGGAUUGCGUCGACGAUGGUGGUUCGCCGCCGUCGACGUCGUGAGAAGUUCAUUGAACCUUAUCAUUUAAAGGAAGGAGAAGUCGUAACAAGGUUACCGUAGGUGAACCUGCGGUAG